UACGAAGGGGGCUAGCGUUGCUCGGAAUUACUGGGCGUAAAGCGCACGUAGGCGGAUGUGUCAGUCAGGGGUGAAAUCCCGGAGCUCAACUUCGGAACUGCCCUUGAUACAGCACGUCUUGAGUCCGGAAGAGGUGGGUGGAAUUCCUAGUGUAGAGGUGAAAUUCGUAGAUAUUAGGAAGAACACCGGUGGCGAAGGCGGCCCACUGGUCCGGUACUGACGCUGAGGUGCGAAAGCGUGGGGAGCAAACAGG
rnacentral:rRNA from 1 species